GGCCUGGUGGUCUAGUAGUAUGAUUCCUUCUUAGGGCGCUCCUGUGUCUGGUUCAACACGGGUUUACGCAAUAUGGAGGAGGUCCCGGGUUCAAUUCCCGGCCAGGCCC